GCGAUCUAUUUUACUUUAGAAAACCAAAUCUUGCUGGGCAUGGAACCUAAACUAUGGUGACAAUUUAAAGGACCUUGAUUCAAAGAAUCAAUUAAGGAGGCUGUCCUCUUUGUUUUGCUUUUACUUAGUAGUUUAGGUGGAAUUCAAGCAGAUAAUAUUCAACCUCUAAGUUCCCUGCUUACACAACUUGGAAUUCUAAAGGAGUCUCUAAAAUGAAAACAUCCCACAGGAAGUGAUGUAGCUAAAGUAUGAUUAUCUGUAUUUUUAAAACAAAUUACUUGUCCUUCAAAUGUCUUUUUCAGUAUGGGGUCAGAAUCACAUGUUCCUUUUGUUAAAAAUGCAGGCUCUUAGGCGGGGCGCGGUGGCUCACGCCUGUAAUCCCAGCACUUUGGGAGGCCAAGGCAGUGGGGGAUCACCUGAGGUCAGGAGUUCGAGCACUUAGAGACCAUCUUUUGCCAGUGUGCUGACCUCUGCUCCACCUCCCCCAAAUGGAUCUUCAGUUCAAAUGGAUGAUAAACACCUUUUCAUUAAAAAGGCCAGUUCUGGGAUGGUUAAAGCACCAUCAGUCAUUUACACAUCCAUUUGUAUUAAAAGGAAAUCCAGAGACUCACACUGACGCCUAGGGGAGAUUAGCAGCUCUUUGUGAUGUAAGUGAAAGGAAGGUCUGUAACUUUGGCCUAAGGAGUGCAUUGGAGAAAAUUGGUAGGUUCCUGAGGAAAUUCAGUUUUUAGAGCAAGCUCACUUUUUAGGGCAAGCUCACCUUGGUAGAUGAGAGUUGAGUGCUGGAAGUGGU
rnacentral:lncRNA from 1 species